ensembl:lincRNA
AUGUUGUGCAUCGUCUUGAAUUUAUUUUUUCUUGUUGCAAAUUACAUUUCAAUAUUUUGUAUUUCUCAAGUUGAGAAAGCUGUACGGAGGCGUCCAGGAAGACAAGGUUCUUCGGUCGGCCAGACGUUGCAGUUCCGACGUUCCCAGUCCGUUGGCAACCUUCUGCGGGAGUUUGAUUUGACACACCAGCACAAGUCUCAAACCCUGGGACAGCAACACAGCCUCUCUCGUGCUGGAGAAUUUGCCAGCACUGAACGCGUGGCCUUCCGUCGCCACAAUCCUGGUUCCUUGACCGAUUCGUUGGUCAUCAUCAGCCGUCGAAGCUCAACUGAGGUGGAAAAACCAAGCGGGAUCUUAUGGGUGAAGGAUGAAAACGAGGAGGAGCCAAAGCCUGCAAAAUCGCAGCUGGAGGAGGAAGAUUUUGGCAUCUUUGUGGAAGGACUCAGAGAAACUUGCCAUAUAAACACUCCUCCAGAUUUGCCAAGUGAAGACCAUUCUCCUGAAUUACCUCUCAACGGUGAUCGCAGCAACCACAUAACACGUAACACAAACAACAACAACGCCUCACCUUGUCGCCUCAAAGGAAUUAAUGGAACAGACUUGUAAGUGGUUCAACAAAUGGUGGAGUUUCCGAGGUUUGUCAAAUGACUUCCACUUCCCAGCCUGAUGGCCCCAGCUUCAUGUGCAAGCCGGAUGCAAACAUUUUGCAGAACAGCAUUGCUCUGCAGCCAGUGUCGCCAAACAGUGAAGUGGUGACUUUGCAACAGUUCUUGGAGGAAGGGGAGGUCAUACCGACGCAGAAACGAGUGAGUGCUCCCUUUCGAGCUGAACAACAUGAAGGUUUUCUUUGAAUGUAUCAAAAAUGUAUUCAAGGUUCCCAAAAUAUUUUCAUUUGAAUAUUACCACUUUCAAGAUUCCUUUUUUUUUAUACAUCUGUAUUGUUUUCCGUUUGAUAAAAGUAAACAGUGAGGCCGAACGAAGCGAAGUUGAGGCCGUUUAUUCCUGAUACGUUAAACUUUCCAUCCAAUAAUCAUCUGAGAGUACGCCAGUACUCUCUAUGUCGGGGUGGCACGGAAGAAAAUGGCCUCCCCAUCUGCUACAUACAAAACUAAAGUUAUAAUAUCUUCUCUUAAAAAGUCACUUGGACUACAUAUGAGAACCUACUUGAUUUGUUCAGAUGAUUAUCGAGGCAGAGAUCACUUUUCAGUUCUCCAGACCAUGGAAGGAAAAAAAAAUAAAAAUAAUAACCACAUCGGUCAAACCCUGGAAUUUAUCUUCUCAAUAAUAAUAUUUUUCAGACAGCAUAUUUCCGAGCUGCCUCUGUCAAUGAUUCCAGUACCAUCCGACAGUUUUGCCUCGUGCCUCACCCUUUGUUAUUGUAAUAUUAAAAACUUGGAAGGAUUCCAUGAAAUGGACGCAAAACUAUAUUCCUUUGUAAAAGAAUUGGCAGGAUCCGAGGGGUGGACGGGACUGUACGACUGUCGAUCAGCCUGGUGGGGGCAGGGCCACUAUGCAUUUACCUCAAUGUCAUACAUAUGGACAUCCAAUAUCAGGAGAAAUAUCAUGCCUCGGGAAAUCCCUUGUUUUUCAGUGUUAUAUUUAUGAAAAUAAAAUAACAGCGAGGUGCAAGUGCUUCACACGGGACACACGUGAUCACGAACCCUGUAUCAAGGUAAAAACGGACCACGUGGUCAAGAAUCUUCUCGAGUCACUGUUUCUCGGCGGCAGAUUUGCUACGUACGUGGGCAUAUGCCAUCGUCCAGAACAACCUGAACGGGGAUAUCCAAUUUAACUCUGAAUUGAGUAAAUAUUUGAACUGGCAUUUGAUGUUCCUUUCGUCUUUGUUUUGACAUACCACAUCGAGUG